ACAGGGGCGCUGACGCAGGUCGGCUGAGAUUGAAUUAUUGCAUUCAAAACCCUUUACACCUGAUACGGAUAAUGCCGUCGUAGGGAGCGUAAUAUUU
rnacentral:ncRNA from 1 species